UGUAUGCGAACUGAGCAAUAUAAUUGCCCGUGAUGCAAUAUUUGCUGCAUGUUUUUGUUACGUGACACAUUUCCGCGCUGUAUUACUUCACAGCAAGCGGGGAACCCUAUCGCACAUGAGAUCUUAUACAAUGCCUCUCAAAGUGAUUUGUGAGCCUACUUCCUUGGAAAGAAAGGCAGCUGAGUGAGUGGGCACUGUCGCCGGCAACUGCCUUGAAUUCCACGAGGGCGACACGGAGUUAUUCCCAGACCAACUGCGAGAUAUAAUCCGGUGUCUCCAGUGCUUCCUCGCUCCUAAGCUUCGUGCCUAAUGGGCAUUCCCAGAAAACCAUUAAGAAGAAGACAUCUAAGAAUCAUCUGAAAUAGAUUGGGGAGAAGUUUGGGAGACCAAAUUGUGUGGACUGGAUUGGACCGGGUCUUCAGUUUGCAUACCAGACGGCAACAACAGCAUUUAUUUUUUAUUAAAAAGAGUCUGAAUAUAAAAAUGAACCAUAAGACAAGAAAUGUAUCGUUAUUCCACCUCAACACUUGCAAGCCUGACCACGGCGGUCCAAAGUGAUUGUUAAUGCUAAUGGAACGUUGUCAUUACCCAACAAUUUUACAGCAGCCAGUCAGACUGUAUAAUUGUAUGAUAUCAGCAUGACAACCAUUAAGGCUGACGUCCAUUCAUAUCAAUUAAAGGCAACAUAACCUGCUCA